CAGGAAUGGUGCAGGCCUUGGAGCUGAGCAGAGCACACUGAAAACUGUUGAAGUGAGAGAGAGAUUGAGACCUCCCUAGCAUGUGAACGCACAGCAGCCAGGAAGCCUGGACCACAUCGGUGUAGAUCCUCGCCGCUUUGGCAUGCUUGGACUGCUCCCAUUAUGGAAGAAGUGUGAGAAGACUACCUCAAAGCACUGGCCAGCUUGAGACCUAGUUGCACACAGAAUUCAACCAGCUUGACAGCAGCUGGGUUUCUUUGGCCACAUCUGCCUGUGUUGUACACUAGAAAGAGAUCCCAGAGCACGGAGAUUUUGAGUCAGUGGCCUGGAUCUGCUUAUCAUGGGAAUGAGGAAGAUCUGCAACUAGUUGUAAUGACUGGACAGAAAUAUUUACCAAGGCUUGACUAUGAAAAAUCUGCAACAACAGGUUUAUGGCCUUACAGGGAGAAAGGGGAGGAGCUGGGCUUGCAAGAGACUUGUAAGAUCAUGUCACACUAGAAAACUAGUGUUUGCAAUAAGACAGGUUCUCUUGAAGUGACUGUGGGAUGGCCUGUGGGGAACCAGGAUAAACUGAAGGCUUGUGAACAUCUUCAGGCAUUUGUAUCAGAAGGUUUAGAAGGGGAACAUCUGAAAAAAAAUCUUCAGGUUCCUGGAAACGAGAACUUUAAAAACAAGAACAGAAAGCUUGGAAAAAGUUGUAACCAGCUCUGACUGUCCAUGGGAGAAGAGUAAUAAAGAUAAGAAUAAAGAUGAAAAGAGAGGACUGCCGUUUUUUUCCAUGAAGAGCAGAUUGCAAGACUGUGGCAUUUUUCCCACACAUCUUGAAUAGCUUUAGGUUUGGGCUUUUUGAGUUUUUAAUUAAUUUAUUGUUUAAGUAACUAUAAUGAGAAAAGCCCCUGCCGCACUGAUUCUAAUGAGGAUUGCACGUGCUCUGUGUCUUUCUCAUUGUGGCUUGUAUCAUUUAAAUAUCUCAACCAACAUGUGCUGUGGCAGAUUUCACUUAUAUCUGCUUAAAUUAAAGCUUGCCAGUUUAGGCACUAAGAAGCAUGCAAAUAUUUGAGAGAGAUUUGACAUUCACUGCUGAAAUCGUUGCACUAAAUAUCUGGCAUCAAUGACAUUUCUUGAGAAGGGUUAGAAAGUUGCUGUAUUAUAAAGACUGUGCAUUAAAGGAGAAAAAUGGACUUAAAAGGGAAAAAUGUACUUUACCUUCUGUGUUCAUAAUUAAGAUCUCCACCAAAAUUUCAGCUGAGUGUUUCAGGCCAACUGGUGAAUCUUCACUUUUUGGCUAAGAAAACUGAUAUAUAGGAAAAUUAAAUUACAUUGUACUGCCCCCCAUGCUUUGUAGAACUGCCAUUUAUUGUUGCCCAGGCACCUGUUAAUCAAGAAGUUUAGGAAAGGUUCAGGAACUCUGUACGCUCAGGGUUCCUCUGCUUUUCUUCUCAAUGAUGUUAUUCGAUUAAUUUAUUUCCACUGAAGAGUUGGACAGGCUUUCUCCAUCUUUGGUGCUGCACAUUAAUACUUGUGCAUAAUAUGGCUUAAAAAAUAGAUGAAUUUUUUAGUAGUCUGAGAACCUGAGGCACAUUGCCCUUUUGAGUAAUGAUUCUCCAUAUGGAAGGGGGUGGAGAAUAUUGCCUUUGGGGCCUCUAUGACUUGUUCAUGUAAAUAAUUAUUUAGGAAACAGUGAUUUGGAAUGAAAAGUCAUCUUGGAGGUCUGACAGUUAUAUCACAGUCUACAAUGUUAUUCUAGGAAGCUUGUGAAUUCGGUCAAAAAUCAAAUUCAUUCCCUGAACAAAACUGCCCUGGUUAAGAUUUAUUUUGGAAAACAGAGAGAAAAAGCAGUGUUGACUGUUGUAGGUGGAGAAAAGCAUCCUCCAAGCUUGUGACAUUUUUAAGACACAAAGUCUUGUACAUCAAAUGGAUCAAGCCCAGUGUUCUGUAGAGCAUAUACGUAUAUAUCCCUAGGAACAAUAUCCCUUUGAGGGAUGAGUGAGUAAGCUCUGCUACAAUUUCCAGCACAUGAAAGACUUUAAAAUGGACUCAGAUAUCUAAAUUUUUAUGGCACGCUGUGUAAGCCAGCAAAGUGGGGUUUGUGAGUCAGGCAAGGCACCUGGGAAGGCAGAGGUCUCUCAGUAAUCUUUAUUACCUUGAAUGUCUCCCUUUCUCAGCUUCAGAUUCCCAAAUGGAAAAUGAGGAUAAUGCCAAGAUCUGACAGACAAUGUGUGCUUUACUUGUGCUCAGUUUACAGGUUAGAUUUCUUUUUAAAAGAACAUGGUUGGCUCAACUACAGCCCUUGUGAGAGGUAGAUGGAUCUUCAUAGCCUUUAUAUCUGUGCAGCAGUGUCAAGAAGAAAGUGAUUUUGGAGAAGCAUGGCAGAAAGGGAGGAGCAACCACUCAGUAAGAGAGGCUUCGAGCCCAGUGUGCAGGUUGGGAAAUAGCAAAGAUAAGCAGACUCAUGAUCGGGUAUCUUUGGAAUGUGAAGAAGAUUCACAGGGACCAGAAGCAACUAUACAUGGCUAGUUGUAGUCCAAAUAUUGACUGAAUUGAAUGAAACCAGGCUAGAAGGCAAGGACUUUUCUUGUAAGCAUGCAGUGAGCAGGGAAAAUUUGAUUUAUGUUGUCCAUUUUAUGGCACUUGUGUUUGACCUAGUCAGUCCAGUUUACACUGCUUUGAGAAGUUAAGGAUUCUAAUUUACAAUAUAUAUAGCAAAAUAUGAUGAGAGCCUUGCUGAAUUCUACAGAGAUUUUAAGAAGUUAGUCUUUGAAGGUACAAUGUUCUUGUCUGCUGGUACUGAAUACAAGCAAAAGCAAUGAAGGUUCUUGGCUGAAAUGGAAACAUCUCAGGCCAAUUAAACAAUUAAAAUUACCUUUUGUUCUUUGAUCCCUUUUUGUUCCUAUCUGUCCCUUUCAUAUGUCUUUUCUGAUGCUGAAGUGAAGGCUCUGUAGAGACAGGGCCACCUCUACUUCUGCAUCUCUGGAGGUGGGCAGAUCAUUGCAUGGUGCUGCUAUGUAGCGGAGCACCAGGUCCCAGUGGGGCAUAUAAUUCUCCAUAAAUGGAGAGGCAACUUCCCAGGCUCUACCCAAAAUAAACAUGCAAAAAAAAAAUGUGCAAUAUAUGGUUUUCUUUCUUUUCAUCUGUUUUUCUGCAGAAAGUGCAUGUCAAGUUUAACUUGAACAGUCCUGUGGAUCCAAUUUAUUAGCUCUAAUAAUUUAUGUCUUACAAAUAUAAGUCUCCCUCCUUGACCAUUCCUGCAGAAUUUGCUACGCUAAAUUCCCAAAAUAUAGUCUUGAGCCUACACAGACAUCAAGAUCCCCUGAUAAUUCUGGAAGUAUCUUAUCAACCAGAGUCAACUAUUGUUUGUAAGUAAUAUUAAUUCUUAUUAAUUAUGGCUAUAGAAUUAUGUUGGACUCUAUCCAUUUGUUAAUGUUUUAGGCAAUGUUCCAUGACACUUUGACCAACAGUUAGAAAAAUGGCCUGUAUGUCUUUUUCUCGGAGCAAAUAAAUUAAUUUUUAUGGAAUGGAAGUGGAGGGUAGAACUGAAUAAGCUAGUUGCAAUGGAAACAGUCUUUCAAAACACUGGAAAACUUAAACACUUGCAAUAGCGUGUGGUCUAAUUUCCUGAACCUGUGAAAAAGAACAUGAAUUAUUAUAUAGCUUACUGCUGAACUGCUUGCUUCCUCGUGUAUAUAGAAGGUAAGGGUGGAAUAUGUGUGUAAGUCAGGUCCAACAUUUCUCAUCCUGUCUCUUGCAAGUUCAAAACCAAAGCAGGCACUGUGAAUGACAAAAAGGCAUGUGAAGAAGUGAGUCAGAGCAACUUAGAGUAUUCUAGAUGCUUCUGAAUUGGACUGGACAAAAAGAAAGAAAAAACUUUUGCUAACAUAUCUUUCUAAUCUCUCUGUAGCUUCUAUUUUGUUUAAAAAAAAUAUUGUCAGAAGCUUUGGAGCUAUAUGUUUUCAGUGUGUACCAAAAUGAUCAAUGCUGUAAUUUUGUAUAAGAACUGUACUUAUCCUCUGCUUCUCUGACAUGGUAGUCUUUCUUCAAUAUUCCUGUACUGUUUUCAAAAUGUUUCUAAAUAGGUUUAUUGAUGAUUGAUUUAGGGGUGGGGACAAAGAGAGUGCAGUGUGGGUUUCUUUGCUUUCAUUUGGUUUGGGGACUUGGUUUUGUGUUUGUUUGGUUUUUUUUUUUAAUUUGG